AGACUUCCCCCCAAGAGAACAGGUGCCUAACAUCUUACACAACUAAGAGCAAAAGAGAGAAAAUCUCCAAGAGGAUAGGCUACAGGCCAUCAAAAAUCAGAGCAGGCCAGACGGAGAUGAGAGUUUCGAGAGAGAGAAAUGGAAAUCUGUGGAGUGGAGAUGAAGUCCCAGUAUGUUGCCUCGGCUGGUCGCAAACUCCUGAGCUCAAGUGAUCCUGCCACCUCGGCUUCUUAAAGUGCGGGUAGUACUUAAUUUGUCUAGAAAUGACAGUGUAAUGCCACUCUGGUCAAUGAGACCUAAGAGGAAGUCUACUGGAAGACAUCUGGGAAAGAUUUACCAUCCUGAAAAAAGACAUGAUCAUGACAUCUUGCAGAAAAGAGGAAGAGAGAAUUUCUAGGACAAAUGGCUUGUUUUUUACAUUAGAGAUGAACCAAAAGUUGCACACUUCACCUCUGCUCACAUCCCAUCCUUCUUAAUCAUAUAGCCACAACUUGCUUCAAGUGAGACUGAAAAUACAGUCCCUAAUGGGGGAAGAGGUGAUGACCAUGUGUACAGCCUAAGUUUUUUUUAAGAAAAAAAAAAAAAAGGGCCGGGUGUGGUAGCUCACACCUGUAAUCCCAGCACUUUGGGAGGCCGAGGCGGGCAGAUCACAAGGACAGGAGAUCGAGAUCAUCUUGGCUAACAUGGUGAAACCCUGCCUCUACUAAAAAUACACAAAAUUAGCUGGGCAUGGUGGCACGUGCCUGUAGUCCCAGCUACUCAGGAGGCUGAGGUAGGAGAAUAGCUUAAACUUGGGAGGAGGAGGUUGCAGUGAGGCAAGAUCGCACCACCGCACUCCAGCCUGGGUGACAGAAUGAGAUUCUGCCUCAAAAAAAAAAAAAGAAAAAAAUUAAAAAAGAAAAAAAGAGAAACAAAUUGGUUGGAGGCCUAUAAGUUUAUGCUACAAGGACUAAAGAUAGAACCAGAGGGAGCCUUGGACACCAUUGCAAUAACAUCCUAGUACAUGACAGUGUCUUGGACCAUAGUGGUAGGAAAGGAGAUGAGGAGAAGUGGUCAGAUUCUGGAUACAUUUUGAAGGUAUAUCCACUAGGAUUUGCUGAUAAAUUGCAUGUGAUAUAUGAAAAAUAUAGAGGAAUUAGGAACCUGUCUACUGUUUUUAGUCUGAGCAACAAAAAUAAUGGACUGGCUAAAACUGAGAUGGAGCAGAGUAUGGGUGAAGCUGGUGGCUUAAGGAGGAAAAUUA
rnacentral:lncRNA from 1 species